AGUUUUGUCUUUCAAAGCAGUGACAUUGGUUUAAAAAAGAGCAGGCUCUUGACUUCAGGUUCACAAUGUCAAAGGAAGAAUGGAGUGGGAGAAAAAGCAAGAGAGGAAGAAGUUCAGUUCUCCAAAAGAAAGAAAGAAAAGAACUGAAAACAAGUUUUGUAGUCCGGAUCCCCGGCCUACUUACUCACUCACCCCGCUGCUCCUUCAGAGAAAUGACGGAGACCAUAUAAUGCGCUAAGUCAAAGAAGGGGAACAUGGGCAAGCGAGAGAAGCGAAGCGGAGUGAAGUUGAAAUUACAUUUGGGGAAAGAAAGGAGCGCACUCAACUAUCCCUGCUUCAUUUCCAGUUUGAAUUGGAGUGUACUUAAUCACCUCCAAAGUAAACCUACCAACCAGAAACUGAGUUCUCGUCUGGCCCAAACAAACGUCUCAUCCUCUCAGGUUCUGCAGACCAACUGCUUAACAAAGUACCAAUUCAGCAAUUACGGUGACAUCUACUUGGAGAUGGAACUGCACUUGCCUUUUUAUUUCAUAUAAAAAGUUGCUCCGGAUAACAAGUUUUUGGAAAACAGUGUUUUCGAUAAACAUUGGUAUCAAGAAUAAAGUGGUACAUGUGAUCCUGUUCUCAUUUUAUAGACAAUUAAAUGGCACCUAUGACUUAUAAAAUACCGCUAAGUAAUGAAACAGUUGUUUUUCUAUUAAACUGUG